rnacentral:ncRNA from 1 species
GUCUGGUUUUAUUCUUGCCUCUUUGUUCAGUGUUGUUUUGUUUUAUAUGUAAGUUUCUGCGUGAAUUCUAUCUUUUUUCUUGAUGGUGGGGGAGAAUUUGGACGGGUAAGGGACCUCUUUGUUCGCAUUAUUUAGUUUUAUAUUAUUGAUCUUGUUGUUUCGGAUUUAGCAAUAGUUUUUAGUGCCGGUUAAGUUUGUGCCAGCAGCCGCGGUUAUACAUUAGGUGUUAUUGAACAUUUUCGGUUGUGCAGUUUUAUUACUUUUUUUGUAUGGGCUUGUAUUGAGGUUUUAUUUAGUAGAUGGGUGGAAUCUUUAUUUUCAUUUAUUGCUUAUUUUGUUUUUGUAGGCUGUGAAAUCUUUUUUGUAGACUAGGAUUAGAUACCCUAUUAUUUUGGGUGUCAAUUAUGUUUACCUGGGUAGUACUAGUUAUGUUCUUGAAACCCAAAGAAUUUGGCGGUAUUCUUUACCUUUCAGAGGAAUCUGCCCCGUAAUCGAUAGUCCGCGUUGGACCUUACUUAAUUCUUUUUUGUUUGUAUACCGCCGUUAUAAUGAGGAUCUUUUUAGUGUUUAUAAUUCUCUGGUUUUAUUAUUUUAAUUUAUUUCAGGUCAAGGUGCAAUUUAUUUUUAAGUGUGAGGUGGAUUACAUUAUUUUGUUGAAUUUUGGAUUACUGAUUGAGAUCUUGGGAUGAAAUUGGAUUUGAUUGUAAUCUGUUGGAGAUUGUGUUGAUGAUGGUGGUACUGGAAUAUGCACACAUCGCCCGUCGCUCUCAUUUGUUUGUUGAGAUAAGUCGUAACAUAGUGGUCGUACCGGAAGGUGUGGCUGGAUUGAU